CCCUAUGGGGCGCACAUCACCCCCUACAACAUGCGUUGCCCAGGCUGGCAUCAGGUUCAACAGACCAAAACCGAACAUGGAACAUGCCGUGAGCAUAAUCAGUAGCACCCGGAUAUUCUCAUCACCGAAUGCAUAACGCAUUCCGGUGGUGAGUUCGUGGACGACCGAUUUUUCCGUGGCGAUCACGGGAGCACGAGGGGGAAGGUGCAUCAUGAAAAGGGCAGAAAGGACUGCGAUGAAGGAAAUGGCAUUGAUCGUAAAGCACCAGGCUGGUCCGAACCAGGCAUAGACCAGGGCAGCAAUGGUUGGUCCAAUUACGAUGCCCAGGUUGAACACAGUGCUAUUCAGCGCGAUGGCGUUGGCAAGGUCUUCCUUGGUCACCAUUUCACUGACAAAAGAUGGGCGGGAGAGC
rnacentral:rRNA from 1 species